rnacentral:rRNA from 1 species
AGUGAACGCUGGCGGCGUGCUUAACACAUGCAAGUCGAACGCGAAAGGGGAGCAAUCCCCGAGUAGAGUGGCGAACGGGUGAGUAAUGUGUGGGUAAUUUGCCUUUCAGCGGGGGAUAACCCGGGGAAACCUGAGCUAAUACCCCAUAACAUGACCUGGUCUUCGGAUCGAGUCAUCAAACGAUGGCCUCUGCUUGCAAGCUAUUGCUGGAAGAUGAGCCCACANCCUAUCACGCUUGUUGGUGGGGUAAUGGCCUACCAAGGCGACGACGGGUAGCCGGCCUGAGAGGGUGUACGGCCACACUGGAACUGAGACACGGUCCAGACUCCUACGGGAGGCAGCAGUGGGGAAUUUUUCGCAAUGGGCGAAAGCCUGACGAAGCAACGCCGCGUGUAGGAUGAAGGCCCUAGCGGUCGUAAACUACUGUCUAGUGGGACGAAAGUAUUCGGAAUGAAUAAUUCCGGGUAUUGACUGUACCGCUGGAGGAAGCUCCGGCUAACUCCGUGCCAGCC